rnacentral:tRNA from 1 species
AUAAGGAUAGUAUAAUUUAAUAUAAUAUUUUUUAUUUACAAUAAAAAGAUAAAGUUUUUUUCCUUAAU